UACGGGGGGAGCAAGCGUUGUUCGGAUUUACUGGGCGUAAAGGGCGCGUAGGCGGCCACCGCAAGUCGACUGUGAAAUCUCCGGGCUUAACCCGGAACGGUCAGCCGAUACUGCGGGGCUAGAGUGCAGAAGGGGCAACUGGAAUUCUCGGUGUAGCGGUGAAAUGCGUAGAUAUCGAGAGGAACACCAAUGGCGAAGGCAGCUCGCUGGGACGGUACUGACGCUGAGGCGCGAAAGCGUGGGGAGCAAACAGG
rnacentral:rRNA from 1 species